AUCACCAAUAUAUCAAUUUACGUGCACAUUCAACACCCCUCACGGGGAUUACGGGAACAUCCUCAGCACGUCUAGAUAUUCCUUCACGCGAAAGCUUUGAGGUUAUAGUCUCAGGGGGGAGGACGUUCGCAAGAGUGAAACUUAAAGAAAUUGAGAGAAGGCACCACAAGACGUGGAGCGUGCGGUUUAAUUUGACUCAACACGGGGAACUUUACCAGAUCAGGAGAGGGUGAGGAUUGACACAUUSAGUGUUCUUUCUCGAUCCCUUCAAAGGUGGUGCAUGGCCGCUUUUGGUCGGUGGAGUGAUUUGUUUGGUUGAUUCCGUCAACGGASGAGAUCCGAGCUGCCCAGUAGAAACCAGGAUUGUCCAAAAGACAGC
rnacentral:rRNA from 1 species